CCUAGAUGAUGAAAAUCCGUUGAGAAUUGGAUAAGUAACAACAAUUUAAAAUGAAAAGGGUAAAAUAAGUAAUUGCCUUUUUGCUAGCCCUCAAUAUAAAACAUCGUUUACCUCCAAAUGUCACCCAUUUGAUGCUGAGACUUUCAAGGGUUCAGACGUGUAAAGGUAUGUCCCUUAAUUUCGUUGUGACUACUUUAUUCCUCAAUAGAUCUUUG
rnacentral:lncRNA from 1 species